rnacentral:rRNA from 1 species
GAUGAACGCUGGCGGCGUGCCUAACACAUGCAAGUCGAGCGAUCUUCUUUGGAAGAGAGCGGCGGACGGGUGAGUAACGCGUGGGUAACCUGCCCUGUACACACGGAUAACAUACCGAAAGGUAUGCUAAUACGGGAUGAUAUAUGAAAGUCACAUGGCUUUUAUAUCAAAGCUCCGGCGGUACAGGAUGGAUCCGCGUCUGAUUAGCUAGUUGGUAAGGUAACGGCUUACCAAGGCGACGAUCAGUAGCCGACCUGAGAGGGUGAUCGGCCACACUGGAACUGAGACACGGUCCAGACUCCUACGGGAGGCAGCAGUGGGGAAUAUUGCACAAUGGGCGAAAGCCUGAUGCAGCAACGCCGCGUGAGCGAUGAAGGCCUUCGGGUCGUAAAGCUCUGUCCUCAAGGAAGAUAAUGACGGUACUUGAGGAGGAAGCCCCGGCUAACUACGUGCCAGCAGCCGCGGUAAUACGUAGGGGGCUAGCGUUAUCCGGAAUUACUGGGCGUAAAGGGUGCGUAGGCGGUCUUUCAAGCCAGAAGUGAAAGGCUACGGCUCAACCGUAGUAAGCUUUUGGAACUGUAGGACUUGAGUGCAGGAGAGGAGAGUAGAAUUCCUAGUGUAGCGGUGAAAUGCGUAGAUAUUAGGAGGAAUACCAGUAGCGAAGGCGGCUCUCUGGACUGUAACUGACGCUGAGGCACGAAAGCGUGGGGAGCAAACAGG